CAACUCUGGUUUCUCUUCAAAACCAAUAAAUCUUUUGCCUUUUACUAAAGAUUUCCAUGGAGAAGAAGAGUUAUGAGUUGGUAACCAAAUUUUUUGAGGUCUUGUUCAGACAACGCU
ensembl:snRNA U5 U5 spliceosomal RNA